rnacentral:tRNA from 6 species
GCCCGAAUGGCGAAAAUGGUAUACGCAGGGGACUUAAAAUCCCCCGUCUUAUAAGGCAUGCUGGUUCAAGUCCGGCUUCGGGCA